rnacentral:rRNA from 1 species
CCCUUAGAUGUUCUGGGCCGCACGCGCGCUACACUGACGAAUGCAACGAGCUUAUAACCUUGGCCGAAAGGUCUGGGUAAUCUCCAAAUUUCGUCGUGAUGGGGAUAGAUUAUUGCAAUUAUUAAUCUUCAACGAGGAAUGCCUAGUAAGCGCAAGUCAUCAGCUUGCGUUGAUUACGUCCCUGCCCUUUGUACACACCGCCCGUUGCUCCUACCGAUUGAAUGGUCCGGUGAAGCGUUCGGACCGUGGCCUUUGGACGGUUCGCCGUCUGUUGGCUGCGGGAAGUUCGUUAAACCUUAUCAUUUAGAGGAAGGAGAAGUCGUAACA